AGCAUAUUGCAAGCUCAAGAAAUCAUUCUUCCGUGUAGCAAGAGCAGUGCUCUCAUCGUGAUACUCAUCAGUAUCAUUAGAGAACUCAAAUUCAUGACUUUGCUCAAUAUUCUCUUUGGCUACUUUUGAAGGUUCACCAUGUUGCAAGUCUUGUGGAAGAUUAAACUCCAGGUCAUGUUUGGAUCCAUGAGUGCGAGAAUCUUGUUGCAUCACCACCUGGUAUGAGCCAGAGCCACUGGAUGUUCCAAGUUCAGUACAACCAUUGCUGCUACGUCCGAUAUUUUGAAGCUCAAGAAAUCAUUCUUCCGCGUAGCAAGAGCAGUGCUCUCAUCGUGAUACUCAUCAGUAUCAUUAGAGAACUCAAAUUCAUGACUUUGCUCAAAAUUCUCUUUGGCUACUUUUGAAGGUUCACCAUGUUGCAAAUCUUGUGGAAGAUUAAACUCCAGGUCAUGUUUGGAUCCAUGAGUGCGAGAAUCUUGUUGCAUCACCACCUGGCAUGAGCCAGAGCCACUGGAUGUUCCAAGUUCAGUACAACCAUUGCUGCU
rnacentral:lncRNA from 1 species